rnacentral:pre_miRNA from 1 species
CACAGGCAGGCUGACCUCCAGGCUGGGCUGGGCGAGUAUCUUUUCUACAGGCUCACCCUCAGGCACAACUAGGAGC